AUUGAACGCUGGCGGCAGGCCUAACACAUGCAAGUCGAGCGGAGCGGCGGACGGGCGAGUAAUGCCUAGGAAUCUGCCUGGUAGUGGGGGAUAACGUCCGGAAACGGGCGCUAAUACCGCAUACUAUCAGAUGAGCCUUGGUCGGAUUAGCUAGUUGGUGGGGUAAAGGCCUACCAAGGUGACGAUCCGUAACUGGUCUGAGAUGAUGAUCAGUCACCCUGGAACUGAGACACGGUCCAGCUUCCUACGGAAGGAAGCAGUGGGGAAUAUUAGAAAAUGGGCGAAAGCGUGAGCCAGCCCUGCCGCGUGUGGGAAGAAGGUCUUCGGAUUGAAAAGCACUUUAAGUUGGAAGGCGUUACCAACAGAAUAAGCCCCGGCUAACUUCGUGCCAGCCGCCGCGGUAAUAC
rnacentral:rRNA from 1 species